GACAGAGGUGCCAAGCGUUAGGCGGAAUCACUGGGCUUAAAGCGUGUGUAGGCGGAUCGUUAAGUACCUUGUGAAAUCCCACGGCUCAACCGUGGAACUGCUGGGUAUACUGGCGGUCUUGAGCCACUUAGGGGCAACCGGAACAAAUGGUGGAGCGGUGAAAUGCGUAGAUAUCAUUUGGAACGCCAAUGGUGAAAACAGGUUGCUGGGAGUGUGCUGACGCUGAGACACGAAAGCCAGGGGAGCGAACGGG
rnacentral:rRNA from 1 species